AAUUCCAAAAGAACUCCAAAACAUAUAGUCUUAACUAGAGUAAGGAUAAGGGUAUAGAAAACCACUUUUGUAAGGAUGGUUACCCUCCUCUCCUUAUCCUAUUAGAUAUCCAGAAACUCAACUACCCAUAUGUUGGGAUGCACUCAGACCAAAGUUUUCAUUUAUGCCUGGCCAGAUCGAAGACAAUAACCGAUAAUAACUUUGCUAUGAAACUGGCCACUUACGCGCCUGACAAACCAAAAAAAGCUUUUAUUUGGGAGGUGCUCCAAGAAACAGUUUCUCCUCUAGAUUCUUUGAUCGCCUGCUUCACAAGAACACAAGAAGAGAUAUGUGCACCAGCAGAUUGACCCAUGAGAUAAAUCCUGGAAAAUACAGACAGCAUGACAGAGUUGAAAAUAUCAAAACUUCGGGGAACGAUGUUAAACCUAUUUGGGUCACCACCAUGAUCAGCAAUGCUGCUGCAAAUAAAUGAGAUUCCCUGAGACACAUCUUCCACCAUAUCUCCUAUUGUUCCCUGUGGAAAGUUUCUGCAACCAAAGAGUCCAUAAG